GAUGAACGCUAGCGGCAGGCCUAACACAUGCAAGUCGAGGGAGGAGCCUUCGGGCUUCGACCGGCGUACGGGUGCGUAACGCGUAUACAAUCUGCCUUUCACAUAGGGAUAGCCCGAAGAAAUUUGGAUUAAUACCUAAUGGUAUAUAGAUGUGGCAUCACCUUUAUAUUAAAGCUGAGGCGGUGAAAGAUGAGUAUGCGUUCUAUUAGCUAGUUGGAGAGGUAACGGCUCCCCAAGGCGACGAUAGAUAGGGGUUCUGAGAGGGAUAUCCCCCACACUGGUACUGAGAUACGGACCAGACUCCUACGGGAGGCAGCAGUGAGGAAUAUUAGACAAUGGUCGGAAGACUGAUCCAGCCAUGCCGCGUGCAGGAAGACGGCCUUAUGGGUUGUAAACUGCUUUUGCAGGGGAAGAAUAAGGACUACGCGUAGUUUGAUGACGGUACUCUGCGAAUAAGCAUCGGCUAACUCCGUG
rnacentral:rRNA from 1 species